rnacentral:rRNA from 1 species
UACGGAGGGUGCAAGCGUUGUCCGGAUUUAUUGGGUUUAAAGGGUGCGUAGGCGGCCCUGUAAGUCAGUGGUGAAAUACUGCAGCUUAACUGUAGCAUUGCCAUUGAUACUGUAGGGCUUGAGUACAGAUGAGGUAGGCGGAAUUGAUGGUGUAGCGGUGAAAUGCAUAGAUACCAUCAAGAACACCGAUUGUGAAGGCAGCUUACUAAGCUGUAACUGACGCUGAGGCACGAAAGCGUGGGGAUCGAACAGG